rnacentral:tRNA from 1 species
GAAGAGAUGGCUCAAUGGGUAGAGUGCUUGCCUCACAAGCAUGAUGGCCUGAGUUUAUCCCUCAGUGUCCACA